UACGUAGGGUGCAAGCGUUGUCCGGAAUUAUUGGGCGUAAAGAGCUCGUAGGCGGUCUGUCACGUCGGCCGUGAAAUCCCGAGGCUCAACCUCGGGUCUGCAGUCGAUACGGGCAAACUAGAGUAUUGCAGGGGAGACUGGAAUUCCUGGUGUAGCGGUGAAAUGCGCAGAUAUCAGGAGGAACACCGGUGGCGAAGGCGGGUCUCUGGGCAAUAACUGACGCUGAGGAGCGAAAGCGUGGGGAGCGAACAGG
rnacentral:rRNA from 1 species